rnacentral:rRNA from 1 species
UACGGGGGGGCAAGCGUUGUUCGGAAUUACUGGGCGUAAAGGGCUUGUAGGUGGCCAACUAAGUCAGACGUGAAAUCCCUCAGCUUAACUGGGGAACUGCGUCUGAUACUGGAUGGCUUGGAUUCGGGAGAGGAAUGCGGAAUUCCAGGUGUAGCGGUGAAAUGCGUAGAUAUCUGGAGGAACACCGGUGGCGAAGGCGGCAUUCUGGACCGACAUUGACGCUGAGGAGCGAAAGCCAGGGAGCAAAGCGGG